UACGUAGGGGCCUAGCGUUGUCCGGAAUUAUUGGGCGUAAAGAGCUCGUAGGCGGUUCGGCAAGUCGGAUGUGAAAUCUCCACGCUUAACGUGGAGGGCCAUUCGAAACUGCUGUGACUCGAGUCCGGUAGGGGAGUGUGGAAUUCCCGGUGUAGUGGGUGGAAUGCGUAGAUAUCGGGAGGAACACCAGUGGCGAAGGCGGUUGCCUGGGGCUU
rnacentral:rRNA from 1 species